GAUGAACGCUAGCUACAGGCUUAACACAUGCAAGUCGCGGGGCAGCAUGGGGGUUGCUUGCAUUCCCCGAUGGCGACCGGCGCACGGGUGAGUAACGCGUAUCCAACCUGCCCUUCACCACGGGCUACCCCGGCGAAAGUCGGACUAAUACCGUAUGUUGUCCAUUGACGGCAUCCGAUUGGGACGCACUGUUUGUCGGUGAUGUAGGGGGAUGCGUUCGAUUAGCUGGACGGCGGGGUGACGGCCCAUCGUGGCGACGAUCGGUAGGGGUGCUGAGAGGAAGGCCCCCCAGACUGGAACUGAGACACGGUCCAGAAUCCUACGGGAGGCAGCAGUGAGGAAUAUUAGUCAAUGGGCGUAAGCCUGAACCAGCCAAGUAGCGUGCAGGAUGACGGCCCUAGGGGUAGUAAACUGCUUUUAUGCGGGGAUAAAGUGGCCCACGUGUGGGUUUUUGCAGGUACCGCAUGAAUAAGGACCGGCUAAUUCCGUG
rnacentral:rRNA from 1 species